GGGGAUGAAUUGGCUUCGACGGGGACGUUAAAGUAUCAUAAGCAGGUUGUUGUAUCCGAUCAACAUAAAAAGCGGUAAAUUAAAUAUAAACGCAAACGAAGAUAAUUUUGCAUUAGCUGCCUAAUUUUAGGUUGAGCUUUUUGGAAAAAUUCUUUUUUCCUGCGAAAAGUUUUUUUCUAUCAUUAAAUUUGCAGGCAACUUUUAUGAAAAAUCUUGUAGUCAUAAAAGUAUUUACAAGAUAGCUUUUUGUUUAUUUUGUUAAUUUAUAAACUUUAGGCGAAUUUUUAAAAUUAACUGAACCUGGAGAAAGUGAUAUGGAGAUUUUUUCGGACGUGGGUUCGACACCCACCAUCUCCACCA
rfam:Tissierellia bacterium KA00581 genomic scaffold Scaffold329, whole genome shotgun sequence.